rnacentral:rRNA from 1 species
AGGUUGAACGCUGGCGGCAUGCUUUACACAUGCAAGUCGAACGGAUCUGGUCCUUCGGGACCAGGUUGGUGGCGGACGGGUGAGUAACACGUGAGCAACCUACCCCGAACGACCGGGACAACACCGGGAAACCGGUGCUAAUACCGGAUACCCCACCGGACCGCAUGGUCUGGCGGGGAAAAGGAUUCCGCUUCGGGAGGGGCGUCGUGGCCUAUCAGCUAGUUGGUGGGGUAACGGCCUACCAAGGCUUCGACGGGUAGCUGGUCUGAGAGGACGAUCAGCCACACUGGGACUGAGACACGGCCCAGACUCCUACGGGCGGCAGC